ACGACAUCUUCGAGCGCAUCGCGGGCGA
rnacentral:piRNA from 1 species